CUUGAAGAUCAAUCUCAUUUUGCAGCUCAGAGAGCAGAAGUAGAACCCUGCAUGUACCUGAGUCCAAAAGCAUCAAACCCCCGAUUCAUUUAUUAGAGAAUUUGGCAGAAACCUACCGCCUCGAGAGAGGAGAGUCUGUGCUAUUACAUUGCUUGAUACAGUAACGUAAUUACAUUUUGAGCAGCCAGAGUGCAGCAGGAGGCCUGAGGUAUGGAACCCUGAAAUGAAUGUUCAUUUGACUCAAAUCAUACCGAAAGUCAAGCUUAAGGGGCCAUCAGUGCUAUCCAGCAGAGUCAUCCGUUGAAGGAGCAGGACUGUUUGGAUACAUUCUGAAGCACCAUCAUACCCUCUGUGAACAAGCCUGAGUCUUUCUCAGCGUAUUUUCAGGUCAUUAUUAUAAUACGGCUGUACCAGAGUCCUGCGAGAGCAGGGACAGGGAUCCAUGGCGCUCAAUUACAGGAAUGUGGGAGACAGGACGGAUCUGCUUUCCUCUGUUAUCACCAUCUCAUUAAAAUGAUGGGAAUAUUAGAUCAUAGCCUGUCAUGCCUUGUGCUGUUUUUUCCCCCCGCUUUGCUGCAUACUGACGUGUAAAGCUGAGACACAUCACUCCUCAGUGUAAGAAACAUGAAAUGAAUAGCUUGACACUUCACAUCACACAUCAAGACAAAUGCUGUGAUGAAGGGAAUGAGUGACCCAGUCGAGAGAUGAGGUUGAGGGGUCAGGAGGCUGACGUCUGGAAAAGAAAAAGGAGAAAAUGCUUCUCAAGAGCUAAUACAACAGAGACAGCAUGUGAUGCCACUGGUUAUGUCAGGUGACUCUAAUGGCAACAUUUUAAAAGAAAAAUAAAGGAGACGAGACUG